rnacentral:ncRNA from 1 species
GGGGGAGGUAAUUCUUCAAAUGAUGCAGGAGGGUCCCAAAGACAGUUCAGUCUGACAGAACUGCACAUAGAGAAAAAGGGCAAAAUGCUGACUUGUUCUCGGUGUUCAGUACACACAAGGGACAGCAAAAGCUCGGCCUAUUGGAUCUUUUGGUUUAAAGAGUUUUUAACAAGACGUGUCAGAAAAAGUACCAUUGGGAUAACUUGGCUUGUGGCGGCCAAGCGUUCAUAGCGACGUUCACUUUUUGAUCCUUCGAUGUCGGCUCUUCCUAUCAUUGUGAAGCGAAAUACAUCAAGCGUUUGGAUGUUCACCCAUGCAAGGGAACGUGAGCUGGGUUUAGACCGUCGUGAGACAGGUUAGUUUUACCCUAGUAAUGACAAAACGUUGUUGCGACAGCAUUCCUGCGUAGUACGAGAGGAACCGCAGGUACGGACCAAUGGCACAAUACUUGUUCGAGCGAACAGUGGUAUGACGGUACGUCCGUUGGAUUAUGCCUGAACGCCUCUAAGGUCGUAUCCGUGCUGGACUGCAAUGAUAAAUAAGGGGCAAUUUGCAUUGUAUGGCUUCUAAACCAUUUAAAGUUUAUAAUUUAUUUUAUAAACGACAAUGGAUGUGAUGCCAAUGUAAUUUGUAACAUAGUAAAUUAGGAGGAUCUUCGAUCACCUGAUGCCGCGCUAGUUACAUAUAAAAGCAUUAUUUAAUACAAUGACAAAGCCUAGAAUCAAUUGUAAACGACUUUUGUAACAGGCAAGGUGUUGUAAGUGGUUGAGCAGCUGCCAUACUGCGAUCCACUGAAGCUUAUCCUUUGCUUGAUGAUUCGA